UACGUAGGGGGCAAACGUUGUCCGGAUUUACUGGGUGUAAAGGGUGCUCAGGCGGUCUUGUAAGUCAGAAGUGAAAUCCUAGAGCUUAACUCUGGAACUGCUUUUGAUACUGCAAGGCUUGAAUAUGGAAGAGGAGGGUGGAAUUUCUGGUGUAGCAGUGAAAUGCGUAGAUAUCAGAAAGAACACCAGUGGCGAAGGCGGCCCUCUGGUCCAUUAUUGACGCUAAAGCACGAAAGCGUGGGGGAGCAAACAGG
rnacentral:rRNA from 1 species